rnacentral:tRNA from 1 species
GGCCGCCGUAGACGACGGGCAUGGCCGCGGCGAUGCGGUCGAUGAACGCGUCGCUCGUGUGGUGGGAGACGAUGAUCGCGCCGUCGACGGCCCC